GAUCGCCUCACGCCGAAUCCUGUCGGCGUUCACCCGGGCCACCUGUGCAUGAAGCACCGCUGACAGGAGCGGGGGACCCACGGUAAGCGCCGCUCCGGUCCAACGAGAAGGCGGACCGGACGGCUUGGGGUCAAGCCGCACGUAUGACGUACGGCCGGGCACUCACAGCCCGCACCCGACAGCUCACCUCGCAGGCGUCGGUGAGAAAAGAG
rnacentral:sRNA from 2 species